rnacentral:rRNA from 24 species
GCGGCGGACGGGUGAGUAACACGUGGGCAACCUGCCCGCAAGACCGGGAUAACUCCGGGAAACCGGAGCUAAUACCGGAUAACACCGAAGACCGCAUGGUCUUCGGUUGAAAGGCGGCCUUUGGGCUGUCACUUGCGGAUGGGCCCGCGGCGCAUUAGCUAGUUGGUGAGGUAACGGCUCACCAAGGCGACGAUGCGUAGCCGGCCUGAGAGGGUGACCGGCCACACUGGGACUGAGACACGGCCCAGACUCCUACGGGAGGCAGCAGUAGGGAAUCUUCCGCAAUGGGCGAAAGCCUGACGGAGCGACGCCGCGUGAGCGAAGAAGGCCUUCGGGUCGUAAAGCUCUGUUGUGAGGGACGAAGGAGCGCCGUUUGAAGAAGGCGGCGCGGUGACGGUACCUCACGAGAAAGCCCCGGCUAACUACGUGCCAGCAGCCGCGGUAAUAC